UGUUAUUGUUAUUAUUACUAUUACAGCGAAUAAUGAUAACCAUAACAAUGAUAUGAUUUUAUUUUUAGUGGUAGUGUAGUAAUAAUAGUAGGAGUGGUAUACAUAUUAAAAUGAAUUAAACGGCAACAUGAAAUCAGAAUAAAUAUCGAUUAACACAAUAUAGAAAAGAGGUGAUCAAACUUCUUCCGCCCUUCUUGCCCCUCCCCCUUGUUUUUAUUGUAGAAAGAUAAGUAACUCCAAGUGUUCCCUUUAUUUUUUGAUAUCUCUGUAGUCUGGUUUUACAAUGAUUAAAAUAUUGUGAUGUCAUUAACAUUGUGUAAUAUUUUGGUGACGUCAAUCAAUUAAUUAAUCAAAAAUAUAGUAGAAAAUACCUGUAAAUAUGCUGCAGUAUAGUUUUACACCACAGGCAUAUAUUACUUUAAUGUCAUUUUAAUAGCAUGUAGGCCACAGAUAAUUUUUCAAUGAUGUUCCUUUCCAUCAUCCCUGUUAUAAUGAUGCUCAGAUUUCUUUCUCUGUUUUCUUUUCUUUUUUCAUGCGAGCAACAUGAUGCAUGAAGGAGCAGUAAAAUUUUUAAAGGUCAUUCGGAUUACGAGGCACAAUUAAAGGGAAUUUUGGGUGUCCUUUCCAAUUAAGCCACCAGAUGGAGGCGAAUCCUACAUUGUGAAGCAUUAGUAGCUAAUUAACAAUGAGUACCCAACACACGAGGAGGCCGUGUGGCCAUCGCUGCCUCAUGCUGGUCUCUGUCCUUUCCGUCAUCUCUGUUGCAGGAUGCAGUCUUGCCGCCUGUAGGGUGACAUAGCUUUGUAAUGUGAGUCAAUGGAGUUGAUGUUGGAUGUGGAUGUUUUGCAGACUGCGUUGAUGUGAACUGCGGCUGCUCUCCUCGGGCCUCCUGGUCGUGCCUGUUGGCCGAGUGGGAUUUGGUGAUCCGCUUCAGCACCGCGGACAGCAGCUUAUAUCACUCUAAUGAUCGCCAGUGAAGCCCAUCAUCCAUCCAUUUUCUGUAUCGCUUGUCCUCACAGAGGUCACGGGUGAACUAGAGCCUAGCCUAGUUGACUUUGGGAAAGAGGCGGACUACACUCUGAAUUGGUUGCCACUUAAUCCCGGGCCAUUUAUAUGAUUUACAACCGCUCACACUCACAUUCACGUCUACAGACAGUUAGUCAAUAUAAUGUGUAUGUUUUUGGAAAGUGGGAGGAAGCUCCAGUACCCCAGAGAAAACACAAGCAAGCUCAGGGAAUACAUGCAAACUCCACACAGGAAGACUCAAACCUCAGAACUGUGAGGUAAAUGUGCUAACAGUAAUCCAUUGAACAAACCCCAUAAUUAUUGUUACCAGUAGAGUAGCAUUAGCCUUAGUAUUAAAAUAUUCCUGCUGAUAUUAUGACAUUAAAUGUUUACUUUUUACCUGAAUGCAUUAAUACAAAGUAUAUUUAUCCACAAUAAUGAAUUUCAAUGAAUCCACCUCCAGUCAGUCUGUUUGCAUCCUAUUUUUAAUCAAAACGUGGCCAUGAUGUUCCUUGUAUUUCAUUGUAAGUAACGUUACAAAAGACCUAAUAAUGAACCAACAUUUAAACAUGAUAAUAAUGAUAUGAAUGAUUUCUCCAGUGCUCAAAAUUAAAGUGUUAAUGCAUAUCAAC